CGAGUUACGGUUACUCAAGGAACUACAGACUCUCGAGACCUAUGAAAUACUAUCAACUAGAUUUCGAAGAAGCCAGCUAGAUGUCCGACUCGAAUCAGCUGAUCGGAACAAUGUUUACGUUCAGUGAUUUUCGAUUAAGGAAAACAAAUAAAAAAAAACCCUUAUGACUCUUAUCCUGCAACUACUGAAAUAAACUCCAGUCAAACAAGCAGAGGCGGAUUCGUUGGAAUGUGAUAUCAUUUUAUUUUAAAAUUGUAUGUACAAGUGUGCCGAAUAAAUGAGAUUGAUUUUACAUACA